AUGUUGCCCAUAUUAAUAACUCUUGGUUUUGAUUAUACAGCCACAUUCUACUGCAGCACUUUCCAUGUGUGGGUGUUGGGGGGGGUGUUAUUGUGCAUGUGUGUGUGUGUGUGUUUUUCAUCAUGCCAAAAGGUGGUCAUGGAGACGCACACUGCAGCAGAAAGUACCACGGAGACGAUACUUCUGGAUGAUCGAUGCAGUCAUGAAACUUUACAGGGCAGACAGAGGCCUCGCAACCACCUUGUGAGGAGAUGCCAUGACCAUGAAAUCCUUAUCUCUGUCACUUCAGCACGAGCAGAUACUGGCGCACAGCGGCACGGGCGCUCCGGCGAAGUAAGUGGCGGUCGGCUUCAUCCAGCUUGCAAUGGGAUGAAUCGACUGGUUGUAUUUCCUUUUCUGAAAAAGUGAUCAUUAUCUUUAACCUCAUUAUUCUGGUGUGUGUGUGUGUGUGUGUGUGUGUGUGUGUGUGUGUGUGUGUGUGAGAAAUCUCCUCACCUCAGUUGCAGAGUUUCUUUUCUUCUGCUCUCUUAAUAAUUGUCACCUAGUAAUGAAUGUGGUUAUUAAAGGAACAGCUGUACAGAACGUCGCAAACAUGAAUCAAAUUUCUACUAGAGCAUACAAACUCAUGUGAUAGCAGAUUACAGAAAACAGAUAAAUACACCUUUGUUGAGUUGAUACGUCAUCUCGUGCGCCCCUCACCCAUCUUGAGGGAUUCAGCUUUAUGUGCGGUCUCUUACGAGCAGCCAUGCUAGUUGAUUAUAACAUUAGAAGAGUUGCCUGCUCAGCAGUCAAAAGUAUUACGGCUGCCGCUGCUGUAACAGCCGUGUGUCUUCCUCCCGACAUUUUCAUCUCCUAUGCAAAUACAGACCCAAUGGAGCCAGUAAUCAUUCAUCAGGAAACUGUCUCCAAAUGGUAACUGCUUCUGUCCUGCUCAUUCAUUAUUCAUCACCAUGGACGGGUCAGGCGGCUAGAGAGGCUCCACUAGUGGCACAACCACAGUCGGCCCCCCGUUCCACUGCUUAUCUCUCUCGCAGGGUGGAAAGAGGAGGGAAAAGUCAAAUGUUCACUUCGACGCGGCUCUCCGCCAGAGUGUCAGAUAUGAAGGGUGUGUGGCUCGGUUCACGUCCCCGACUCCGGUAUUGAUAAAACACAGUGCCUGCUGCUGAUACCCCCCCCCGUUCAUUACUGUGCUUAAUGAGAAACUCUGUAAAGUAAGUGAGAAAUGUUGUGUUUAGGAUGAGCUGGAGGCAGAGUUUCACUGCAAAUGUGACGGGCAAUAUGACAUUUAAGAAAGGCCCUGAUAAACAGGCCCUAUGCACAGACAGCUUAGUGGAAUCCCGGCCCCAU
ensembl:lncRNA